rnacentral:rRNA from 1 species
UACGGAGGGGACUAGCGUUGUUCGGAAUUACUGGGCGUAAAGCGCACGUAGGCGGUUUUGUAAGUCAGGGGUGAAAUCCCUGGGCUCAACCUCGGAACUGCCUUUGAUACUGCAAAUCUCGAGUCCGGAAGAGGUGAGUGGAAUUCCUAGUGUAGAGGUGAAAUUCGUAGAUAUUAGGAAGAACACCAGUGGCGAAGGCGGCUCACUGGUCCGGUACUGACGCUGAGGUGCGAAAGCGUGGGGAGCAAACAGG